CAGGGACCUGCCAUUCUGCAGCCCCGCCUCGCUCCAGAUCUCAGGGGUCCUGAGCCUGCUCCGCAGGAGGACCGCCUGCUUCCCACCUGUCUUCACACGUGUGUGCUUCUUCUCCGACUGCGGAGCCCGUGGCAGAGCGGACUCUUCUGGGCUCACACCGCCAGCACGGCAGGCCCCCUGCACCAGGACCUGAGAACAGCUGUGUUUUGGACCAGGGACACCUUCUGAGCAGCACACUUGGGCAGUUGCAUCUCUGUGAAUUAGCGGGACACAUGCACACACGGGCAGUGAUCCAUCCGGCUCCCAGAGACUCUCGGCCGCCUCCAUCCAUCUCCCUGACGGGUACCCGGUAGAAGCGGCACAGCCCAAGCUGACUCCUCUGAACGAGACAGCCUCAGAGCUCAGGAGCAGGCGGGGCCGGCCUCCCAGGCGAUGCUCCCGUUUUAGACGAGAUGCAAAUGCCCCGCCGUUUCCCACAGCAGACGGAAGGCUGAUAAUAACUCAGUCUUUGCCACGGGAGGGACAGCUUCCUGGAACACGUCCACCGCCGAAUCCCCAGCGAGCACACCGAAGUGCAGAAACCGGGCUUGUCGUGGAAUGAUCAGCACAGCAGGAAGGCGGGCCUUGUCUGCCAGCGCUGCUGCCCGGAGCCACUCGGGGUAUCGGUGUCAGUCAUCCCGAGGACAGGGACAGAGGUGCAGGGUGGCUUCCUGGGGCCUGGGGAGGCCGAGGGUGCAGCUGAUGCCAGGCCCUGGGGCUCCUGGGCUUCCGUCCUCUGUAAUCAGCCCUGCCCCGCUAUCUACUUUAGAGGAUGAGUUUCAAAGGCAGAGUUCGAUUAUCAUGAAAAGGAUUUCCCAGAGAACACACAGAAAGGCAGACUCCUCCUCAGAAA